CGUGCAUCCCAGUUAAAGUCUUCUUCUCCUGUUAAAGAUCGUACCAAGCUUCUGCAAUCUGAGUCUACCGAAACUGCUCCCAUCUCCUUCUUCUUUAUAUACUCCAAGGCUUCAACAAGAGCUAGGAUUUCGAUAUGAGCCACGGAAUCCACGCGAACUGACCUGGUGAAACCGUCGACAAGAGUACCGGAGGAGUCGCGGACGAUGCCGGCGAUGGCUCCUUCUGUUGAGCCCUCGCCGAUUGACCCAUCUACAUUUAUCUUCAUUUUUCCCUUCUCUGGAGCUACCCAGAUCUGAGAUCUACAAUGUUACAAGCAUCCGGCCUCUGUCCAUUCGAAAGAUGAAGUUAUUUCGCCCCUUCCAAAUAUGCCAUAGGAGAUUUGAAAUCAAUUCCAAGGACGAGGAGGAAGAUGUGCUCAGUCGUUUCCACCCUUUCUCGGCAAAGGUCGCAUACAGGGUCAGUUAAAAUCUUUCUUUUCCACAAAUUCUCCUUGGAUGAUAUAGCGUUUUGGCAUACAUUCCAUAUAAAUAUUUUAACUUUAGGGCUGAUCUUCAUAUUCCAUAAAGCAUUCCAUAGUGCUUGGUAUUUCUUCACUAAUUUUUUUACGGUUGCGAUAGAUGUCCUAAAAUUUCACAUAGAAUGUCAUCAAUAAAAAAAACAAUUUAGUCAACCAAUCCCAAAAUAGGAUGUAGAGGUGUCGU